rnacentral:rRNA from 1 species
UACGUAGGGUGCGAGCGUUGCCCGGAUUUAUUGGGCGUAAAGCGCUCGCAGGUGGUCCGAUGCGUCGUGCGUGAAAGACCCCGGCUCAACUGGGGAGGGUCGUGCGAUACGGUCGGACUGGAGGCCAGUAGGGGGAUGCGGAAUUCCGGGUGUAGUGGUGGAAUGCGUAGAGAUCGGAAAGAACACCAACGGCGAAAGCACUCUGCUGGGCCGACACUGACACUGAGAGACGAAAGCUAGGGGAGCGAAUGGG